AAAUGCGAUAAGUAAUGUGAAUUGCAGAAUUCUGUGAAUCAUCGAAUCUUUGAACGCACAUUGCGCCCGCCAGCACUCUGGCGGGCAUGCCUGUUCGAGCGUCAUUUCAACCCUCAGAACCCCUUGCGGGAUCUGGCGUUGGGGAUUGGCAUCCAGCCAGCCCCGAAAUCUAGUGGCGGUCCCUCCGCGACCUCCCCUGUGCAGUAGCGAUACCUCGCAGCGGGACAGCGGUCUGACCACGCCGUAAAACCCCCAACUUCUCAAGGUUGACCUCGUAUCAGGUAGGAAUACCCGCUGAACUUAAGC
rnacentral:misc_RNA from 1 species